AUUCCAGAGGGAACUCUGGUGUGGAGCACACUGCAGAGAGAAUAGCAAGCACUAAAGGACUGAGAGCAAUACAUUCACAUGUUCUCUACAGUUCAGAUGUAGUACUGCUAGCUGGACUGUAAUCUCUGCUUUAAUCAAGAUUCUGCAGACUUUCCAAACAGAGAAAUCUCAGGUGCAUAAUCAGCCAGGAAGGAGACUCAGUAAUUAGCAACACAGACACAUACAGCAGUUUGUAUGCUGAGCAGAACCUCCAGGCAAAUCUGGAUAUCUGGAUAUCCUAGCCUGCAGCAGAGGAAAAAUCACUUGCUCUGGGACCCCGGCAGCACCCACAAGCAAAUUAAAGUUUCCAGUUAGCUUAAUCAGUCAGUAAUUACUCACCUACCGAAGCGGUGUCUUAUUCAUCUAGCAUCUUUAGCCGGUCUUCUGCGGCAGCACAGCCCUUGCGCCAGCAAGCACCCAUUGAGCCUCCUAGCAGCCCUCAGGACUCACAGCAGACCCCUCCCCAGUGGCGAGAUGGAAGGUUGACCAUGGGGAGCCCAGGAGAACACUGGACAGUCUUGCAGAGAUUUACUAGGACUACUUCAAGCCCUAACCAGAGUAAAUGAUGAGAUCUUAAAAAGACAAAUUCAUUAUGAUUAAAAAAUAUCUCUAUCAAUAAUUUGGAGGAUACACAAGAGCCUAGGAAGGAAGACUACACAAGAAA